UGGGGAAUAUUGCACAAUGGGCGCAAGCCUGAUGCAGCCAUGCCGCGGGUAUGAAGAAGGCCUUCGGGUUGUAAAGUACUUUCAGUCGGGAGGAAGGUGGUAAGGUUAAUAACCUUAUCAAUUGACGUUACCGACAGAAGAAGCACCGGCUAACUCCGUGCCAGCAGCCGCGGUAAUACGGAGGGUGCAAGCGUUAAUCGGAAUUACUGGGCGUAAAGCGCACGCAGGCGGUUGAUUGAGUCAGAUGUGAAAUCCCCGGGCUUAACCCGGGAAUUGCAUCUGAUACUGGUCAGCUGGAGUCGUGUAGAGGGGGGUAGAAUUCCAUGUGUAGCGGUGAAAUGCGUAGAGGUGUGGAGGAAUACCGGUGGCGGAGGCGGCCCCCUGGACAAAGACUGACGCUCAGGUGCGAAAGCGUGGGGAGCAAACAGG
rnacentral:rRNA from 1 species